GACGAACGCUGGCGGCGUGCUUAACACAUGCAAGUCGAACGGAAAGGCCCUGCUUUUGUGGGGUGCUCGAGUGGCGAACGGGUGAGUGACACGUGAGUAACCUGCCCUUGACUUUGGGAUAACUUCAGGAAACUGGGGCUAAUACCGGAUAGGAGCUCCUGUUGCAUGGUGGGGGUUGGAAAGUUUCGGCGGUUGGGGAUGGACUCGCGGCUUAUCAGCUAGUUGGUUGGGUAGUGGCUUACCAAGGCUGUGAAGGGUAGGCGGCCAUAGAGGGUGACCGGGUACAAUGAUACUACGAUACGGACCAGACGGCAAGGGGCGGCAGCAGUGGCAAAUAUGACACAAUGGGACGAAGCCUGAGGCGACGACGCCCCGUGCGGGAUGACUUAGUUCGGGGUAAAAACCGCUGUCGCCUAUGACGAAGCGUGGGUGACGGUAAAGGGUAAAGAAGCACCGGCUAACUACGUG
rnacentral:rRNA from 1 species